UACAGAGGUCUCGAGCGUUGUUCGGAUUCAUUGGGCGUAAAGAGCGUGUAGGCGGCCAAGCAGGUCCGUUGUGAAAACUGGAGGCUUAACCUCCAGACGUCGACGGAAACCGCGUGGCUAGAGUCCGGAAGAGGAGAGUGGAAUUCCUGGUGUAGCGGUGAAAUGCGCAGAUAUCAGGAAGAACACCAAUGGCGAAGGCAGCUCUCUGGGACGGUACUGACGCUGAGACGCGAAAGCGUGGGGAGCGAACAGG
rnacentral:rRNA from 1 species